AUGGCAUCUUCGCCAAGUGCUAUCGAGGCAUCUUCGCCUUUGGACGUACGGCAUCUUCGCCUACUUCCCAUGUGUACGCCUACAUCGACUUCAUCAAGUCCAAGGCGACUACCUACGAGCGAGGGCGACACUUCCAUCUUCGGAAGCCCCUCAAGGAAGAUGGCCGAGCAUGGGAAAUUCCCUUCGGUCAUGGAGACGAGCUACGAGGUGCCACAUCAUAUGGGCCUCCCACACCAAGACGGUGACAAGACGGUCGAGCAAGGGCCAUCCCCUUCGACCACGGCGAUAGGAGUUGAGCAUGGAGACAUUUGCACCUACAUAUCUCCGACACCCACAUAUGUCGAGAUGCCCCAAGUGCCAUGUGAGGAGAGCCACCACCACAUAAGUGACAUGAGUGACUCCACCAUACGUGACAUUGAGAGCAUUUCCUAUGAGAGGAUGAGUGUGACCACCACUAGCCCCACACAUGAGAGCAUGCCACACAUCCUAUGUGAGGUUGAGCACCAUUUGAGUGACUCCACCAACCAUAUGAGUGAGAGCACCCUUGAGGGAGUGAGUGAGCCACAACACUUAGUGAGUGAGAUAGUUGACACGGCAUGUGAGACCACUAUGAUUUCUAACGACUUAACCUCUACUCCUAGUGUGUUUUCUUCUUUGGUGCUAGGUCUCCUACAUGACGACGUGCCUACCCUCGACGAGUCCAUCCCUCCAAAGGAGACACCGAUGGCCAUGGAGGACGAUGAUUCACCCCCCACAUGGUUCCAUCAAGAUGAAGAUGACAACGAGACGAUCUUCAACACGUCACCUACAACACAUGAGCGACGCCCCAAAGGUAACAUAGGUGAUGAUGCUUCUCUUGUCCCACUAGUGGACUCUCUUGACAUCGAUUGCUCCCAUGAUGUUGACCCACCUAUUCCCAUGCUUCAUGCUAGUGAUACUUCUUCAUGCCUUGACUUACCUAUUUAUGAUGAAUAUGAUGAUGAGCAUGUUGAGUUGCCUAGUUGUGAUGCUAUGCUUCAUAGGAUAUCUUGUGAAAAUUCUAUUGGUCACUUCAUGUUUGACAAUCCAUUGAACUUGUCAUAG
rnacentral:rRNA from 1 species